CCUCUGGUAGCUCAGUUGCUAGAGCGGUGGACUGUAGAUUCAUAGGUCGCUGGUUCAAAUCCGGUCCAGAGGA
rnacentral:tRNA from 1 species